rnacentral:rRNA from 1 species
AUGCCUCUAGGGACAAACGGAAGAAUGAAGAUUCUUAUACUGCCAUUUAUGCCUUGUUGGUCACUUGGGGACCAGAAUGUGCUCGUGAUCCUUUUUCCUUGGACAAUCCGGCCGUCGACAGUCGCAAGGGGAUCCAAUUCCAGGAGCUCUUCGGCCCCAAUGUCACGUGCCAGGUUUCGGAGUUCGAGUCGGCCAAGCUCAACUACAUUUUCGACGCUUUCCUCUUCUUCAACAGGGACGACGACGACAAGGUGA